UUCGAAGCGGUUAGUGGCGGACUGGUGAGUAACACGUAAGCAACCUGCCUGUUAGAGGGGAAUAACAGUGAGAAAUCACUGCUAAAACCGCAUAUGCCGUGAACAUCGCAUGAUGAAAACGGGAAAAGAGCAAUCUGCUAAUAGAUGGGCUUGCGUCUGAUUAGCUAGUUGGUGUGGUAAAGGCAUACCAAGGCAACGAUCAGUAGCCGGACUGAGAGGUUGAACGGCCACAUUGGGACUGAGAUACGGCCCAGACUCC
rnacentral:rRNA from 1 species